CAGCAGCCGCGGGAAUACGGAGGGAGCUAGCGUUGUUCGGAAUUACUGGGCGUAAAGCGCGCGUAGGCGGUUACUCAAGUCAGAGGUGAAAGCCCGGGGCUCAACCCCGGAACUGCCUUUGAAACUAGGUGACUAGAAUCUUGGAGAGGUCAGUGGAAUUCCGAGUGUAGAGGUGAAAUUCGUAGAUAUUCGGAAGAACACCAGUGGCGAAGGCGACUGACUGGACAAGUAUUGACGCUGAGGUGCGAAAGCGUGGGGAGCAAACAGGAUUAGAUACCCGAGUAGUCCCUGUCUCUUAUAC
rnacentral:rRNA from 1 species